AGGAGGCAGCAGUGAGGAAUUGUUCGCAAUGGGCGCAAGCCUGACGACGCAACGCCGCGUGGAGGACGAAGACCUUCGGGUCGUAAACUCCUUUCGAUCGAGACGAACAGCCUUCGGGUGAACAAUCCGGAGGAAUGACGGUACCGAGAGAAGAAGCCCCGGCUAACUCCGUGCCAGCAGCCGCGGUAAUACGGGGGGGGCAAGCGUUGUUCGGAAUUACUGGGCGUAAAGGGCUCGUAGGCGGCCAACUAAGUCAGACGUGAAAUCCCUCGGCUUAACCGGGGAACUGCGUCUGAUACUGGAUGGCUUGAGUUUGGGAGAGGGAUGCGGAAUUCCAGGUGUAGCGGUGAAAUGCGUAGAUAUCUGGAGGAACACCGGUGGCGAAGGCGGCAUCCUGGACCAACACUGACGCUGAGGAGCGAAAGCCAGGGGAGCAAACGGGAUUAGAUACCCUCGUAC
rnacentral:rRNA from 1 species